rnacentral:rRNA from 1 species
GAUGAACGCUGGCGGCGUGCCUAAUACAUGCAAGUCGAGCGACGCUGGCACGCGUUUGUAACCCUUCGAUAACCUCCUAUAAGACUGGGAUAACUUCGGGAAACCUGUGCUAAACCUGCUACUUAUACCUGGAUCCGCGCUGCAUUAGCUAGUUGGUAAGGUAACGGCUUACCAAGUCAACGAUGCAUAGCCGACCUGAGAGGGGGAUCGGCCACACUGGAACUGAGACACGGUCCAGACUCCUACGGGAGGCAGCAGUAGGGAAUCUGCCGCAAUGGGCGAAAGCCUGACGGAGCAACGCCGCGUGAGUGAUGAAGGUCUUCGGAUCGUAAAACUCUGUUAUUAGGGAAGCGGUACCUAAAGAGAAAGCAACGGCUAACUCCGUGCCAGCAGCCGCGGUAAUAG